UACGUAGGUGUCAAGCGUUGUCCGGGUUUAUUGGGCGUAAAGCGCCCGCAGGCGGCUCGGCAAGUUUCGGGUGAAAUCUCCCGGCUCAACUGGGAGGGGUCUCGAAAAAUUAUCGGGCUUGAGGCAGGGAGAGGGAAGCAGAAUUCCAGGUGUAGCGGUGAAAUGCGUAGAUAUCUGGAGGAAUACCAGUGGCGAAGGCGGCUUCCUGGCCCUGUCCUGACGCUCAGGGGCGAAAGCGUGGGUAGCGAACAGG
rnacentral:rRNA from 1 species